rnacentral:rRNA from 1 species
UACGGAGGGUGCAAGCGUUAUCCGGAUUUACUGGGUUUAAAGGGUGCGCAGGCGGAUAUGUAAGUCAGUGGUGAAAUCUCCGGGCUUAACCCGGAAAUUGCCGUUGAUACUAUAUAUCUUGAAUGCUGUGGAGGUAAGCAGAAUAUGUCAUGUAGCGGUGAAAUGCUUAGAUAUGACAUAGAAUACCUAUUGCGAAGGCAGCUUACUACGCAGAUAUUGACGCUCAUGCACGAAAGCGUGGGGAUCAAACAGGAAUUAG